AGAGUUUGAUCAUGGCUCAGGACGAACGCUGGCGGCGUGCCUAAUACAUGCAAGUUGAACGCUUGAUUUUCACCGAAGCUUGCUUCACCGAAAAUCAAGAGUAGCGAACGGGUGAGUAACGCGUGGGUAACCUACCUUUCAGCGGGGGAUAACUAUUGGAAACGAUAGCUAAUACCGCAUAACAAUGUUGGAUGCAUAUUCGACAUUUGAAAGUACCAAUUGGUACACUGAGAGAUGGACCCGCGUUGUAUUAGCUAGUUGGUAGUGUAAUGGACUACCAAGGCGAUGAUACAUAGCCGACCUGAGAGGGUGAUCGGCCACAUUGGGACUGAGACACGGCCCAAACUCCUACGGGAGGCAGCAGUAGGGAAUCUUCGGCAAUGGACGAAAGUCUGACCGAGCAACGCCGCGUGAGUGAAGAAGGUUUUCGGAUCGUAAAACUCUGUUGUUAGAGAAGAAUGUUGCAUAGAGUGGAAAAUUAUGCAAGUGACGGUAUCUAACCAGAAAGGGACGGCUAACUACGUGCCAGCAGCCGCGGUAAUACGUAGGUCCCGAGCGUUGUCCGGAUUUAUUGGGCGUAAAGCGAGCGCAGGUGGUUUAAUAAGUCUGAUGUAAAAGGCAGUGGCUCAACCAUUGUGUGCAUUGGAAACUGUUAGACUUGAGUGCAGUAGAGGAGAGUGGAAUUCCAUGUGUAGCGGUGAAAUGCGUAGAUAUAUGGAGGAACACCGGUGGCGAAAGCGGCUCUC
rnacentral:rRNA from 1 species